rnacentral:lncRNA from 1 species
AGUCUGAGAUUUCGACACAUUCUGCAAUAAUGUCAACUGAAAUGCCACCAUCUAGGCAACAUUCUACACCAACUUUUACUGAAAGAAAGAAACAGCCGUACCGUAUUCUGAAUCAUAUGCUCUUCCAUGACUCACAGAGAUCUCGGAGGGGAAUCGAACAGCAUGACACCUUUCAACGCUCUCUCUCCUGAGCUUCCACCGAGUAUUUCGACCCACUCUGCAAUAAUGUCAACUGAAAUGCCACUAUCUAGGUAACAUUCUGCACUAUUUUUUACUGACACAAAGAAACAAUCAUACUGUAUUCUGAAUCAUAUGCUCUUCCACAACUGGCAGAGAUUUCGGAGAGGAAUCGAAGACCAUUUCACCCUUCAACGCCUACUCUCCUGAGCUUCCACCGAGUAUUUCGACACACUCUGCAAUAAUGUCAACUGAACUGCCAGUAUCUAGGUAACAUUCUACACCAUAUUUUGCUGAAAGAAACAAUUAUACUGUGUUGUGAAUCAUAUGCUCUUCCGUGACUCGCAGAGAUUUCGGAGAGGAAUCGAACGCCAUGUCACCCUUCAAGGCUUACUCUCCUGAGCUUCC